rnacentral:rRNA from 1 species
AAAUUGAAGAGUUUGAUCAUGGCUCAGAUUGAACGCUGGCGGCAGGCCUAACACAUGCAAGUCGAACGGUAGCACAGAGAGCUUGCUCUCGGGUGACGAGUGGCGGACGGGUGAGUAAUGUCUGGGAAACUGCCUGAUGGAGGGGGAUAACUACUGGAAACGGUAGCUAAUACCGCAUAACGUCGCAAGACCAAAGAGGGGGACCUUCGGGCCUCUUGCCAUCAGAUGUGCCCAGAUGGGAUUAGCUAGUAGGUGGGGUAAUGGCUCACCUAGGCGACGAUCCCUAGCUGGUCUGAGAGGAUGACCAGCCACACUGGAACUGAGACACGGUCCAGACUCCUACGGGAGGCAGCAGUGGGGAAUAUUGCACAAUGGGCGCAAGCCUGAUGCAGCCAUGCCGCGUGUAUGAAGAAGGCCUUCGGGUUGUAAAGUACUUUCAGCGAGGAGGAAGGCGGUGAGGUUAAUAACCUCAUCGAUUGACGUUACUCGCAGAAGAAGCACCGGCUAACUCCGUGCCAGCAGCCGCGGUAAUACGGAGGGUGCAAGCGUUAAUCGGAAUUACUGGGCGUAAAGCGCACGCAGGCGGUCUGUCAAGUCGGAUGUGAAAUCCCCGGGCUCAACCUGGGAACUGCAUUCGAAACUGGCAGGCUAGAGUCUUGUAGAGGGGGGUAGAAUUCCAGGUGUAGCGGUGAAAUGCGUAGAGAUCUGGAGGAAUACCGGUGGCGAAGGCGGCCCCCUGGACAAAGACUGACGCUCAGGUGCGAAAGCGUGGGGAGCAAACAGGAUUAGAUACCCUGGUAGUCCACGCCGUAAACGAUGUCGACUUGGAGGUUGUUCCCUUGAGGAGUGGCUUCCGGAGCUAACGCGUUAAGUCGACCGCCUGGGGAGUACGGCCGCAAGGUUAAAACUCAAAUGAAUUGACGGGGGCCCGCACAAGCGGUGGAGCAUGUGGUUUAAUUCGAUGCAACGCGAAGAACCUUACCUACUCUUGACAUCCAGAGAACUUUCCAGAGAUGGAUUGGUGCCUUCGGGAACUCUGAGACAGGUGCUGCAUGGCUGUCGUCAGCUCGUGUUGUGAAAUGUUGGGUUAAGUCCCGCAACGAGCGCAACCCUUAUCCUUUGUUGCCAGCGGUUAGGCCGGGAACUCAAAGGAGACUGCCAGUGAUAAACUGGAGGAAGGUGGGGAUGACGUCAAGUCAUCAUGGCCCUUACGAGUAGGGCUACACACGUGCUACAAUGGCGCAUACAAAGAGAAGCGACCUCGCGAGAGCAAGCGGACCUCAUAAAGUGCGUCGUAGUCCGGAUUGGAGUCUGCAACUCGACUCCAUGAAGUCGGAAUCGCUAGUAAUCGUAGAUCAGAAUGCUACGGUGAAUACGUUCCCGGGCCUUGUACACACCGCCCGUCACACCAUGGGAGUGGGUUGCAAAAGAAGUAGGUAGCUUAACCUUCGGGAGGGCGCUUACCACUUUGUGAUUCAUGACUGGGGUGAAGUCGUAACAAGGUAACCGUAGGGGAACCUGCGGUUGGAUCACCUCCUUACCUUAAAGAA